UCGGGAAUUUUGGGCAAUGGGCGAAAGCCUGACCCAGCAACGCCGCGUGAAGGAUGAAGUAUUUCGGUAUGUAAACUUCGUAAGAAUAGGAAGAAUAAAUGACGGUACUAUUUGUAAGGUCCGGCUAACUACGUGCCAGCAGCCGCGGUAAUACGUAGGGACCAAGCGUUGUUCGGAUUUACUGGGCGUAAAGGGCGCGUAGGCGGUGUGUCAAGUCAGUUGUGAAAUCUCCGAGCUUAACUCGGAACGGUCAACUGAUACUGUCACACUAGAGUACAGAAGGGGCAAUCGGAAUUCCUGGUGUAGCGGUGAAAUGCGUAGAUAUCAAGAGGAACACCUGAGGCGAAGGCGGGUUGCUGGGCUGAUACUGACGCUGAGGCGCGAAAGCUAGGGUAGCAAACGGGAUUAGAUACCCCUGUAGUCCCUGAGCGGGCUGGCAAGGCGCAU
rnacentral:rRNA from 1 species